ACCUUUUCUAUUACACACCCGUGCACCUUUUGUAGGUCCUCGAAAGAGGAUCUAUGUAUUUCAUCAUCACACCUAUCGUAUGUCUAGAAUGUCAUCGUCGACCACUGGGCGGCGAAAUAAAUAAUACAACUUUCAGCAACGGAUCUCUUGGCUCUCGCAUCGAUGAAGAACGCAGCGAAUUGCGAUAAGUAAUGUGAAUUGCAGAUUUUCAGUGAAUCAUCGAAUCUUUGAACGCACCUUGCGCUCCUUGGUAUUCCGAGGAGCAUGCCUGUUUGAGUGUCAUUAAAUUCUCAACCAUGACUUUGUUGACAUGGCUUGGAGUUGGGGGUUGCUGGCUUGUUUGUCAGCUCUCCUGAAAUACAUUAGCGGUGGACAAGCAAGGCCUUCCGACGUGAUAAUGAUCGUCGUGGGGCGGAGCAUCAACGUCUGUCUGCUUCUAAAUCCCAGAUGCCUUAGCUAGACAUCAUUUCGAACGCUUGACCUCAAAUCAGGUAGGACUACCCGCUGAACUU
rnacentral:misc_RNA from 1 species